ACGUAGGGGGCAAGCGUUGUCCGGAAUCACUGGGCGUAAAGCGCGCGCAGGCGGUCAUCUACGUCUGGGGUGAAAGCCCGGAGCUCAACUCCGGGACUGCCUUGGAUACGGGAUGACUUGAGGAUCGGAGAGGCAAGGGGAAUUCCACGUGUAGCGGUGAAAUGCGUAGAGAUGUGGAGGAACACCUGUGGCGAAGGCGCCUUGCUGGCCGAUUUCUGACGCUGAGGCGCGAAAGCGUGGGGAGCAAACAGGA
rnacentral:rRNA from 1 species